AUAAAUAGAUAAUGCUCAAGUCAUAAUAAGUACAAAAUUUAUUAUUGUAUCUUGAUCUCCUAAGGAUCAUAGUAGUUAAAAUAUUUAAUAACUAACAUAAGACAACUGAAAAAAUAACGAGCUAGAAGGAAUGAAGUGUACAUCAUGUUAGGUCCACUUCGUCAUCAUUUUCUUCAAGGAAGUCAAGGUUGGGCCUGUAAAGUUCAUCCUGCAAAAGAAACACCAAAAUUCAAUUUCAACAAGAUGAGGAAUAAGAAAAAAUAAACCUGGUGAACUUAAAUUAAUAGAUAGAGGGAGAUUAAUGAAGGACAAAGACAAAAAUAUAGUUAUUAGUAAAUAUCUCAAGUGAAUCAUAGUUGGUAAAUGUUUGAAGGAAGUUGGUAAACUUCUUCUCUACCAAUUUAGUUACAUGUUCAGUAAUAUCUAUACCAAUGGACGGUUGUGGUGUACUAUCAUUGGUAGAAGCAUCAUCCAUAGACUUUAUACCCAAUCGACGAAAAACAAUCUUGUCAAUCAUAUUCUCUAAUUCCUUAGGAUCAGUAGAUUAUUGCAGUGAAGACUAACCUAUACUCGGUGGCACUAUAGGAGGAGUACCGAGCACGUCUCGUGUGCGAUAUCCUGGAAAACCAAGUAUCCUAUUUUUUUUAAUCCCGCCAGUUUUCUCAAUCCAAAUAGUCAAGUCAUCUACCUCUGGUGUACCGUCCUCUGUAGGACCGCCAACCUCAGUACUAUAUCCUGACUAAAAUACAAAACAUGUACAAGAGUUAAAUACGUACAUUAAAUACAUUUUCAAGUCAUAAAAAUGCACAUCAAUCAAUUGAAACUGUAAAAUAUUGGUUGACUAAACUAAAAAUCAGGCAGACAUACUAAAGGAAAUAGGUGGUGAGUUAUGGCUAAAGUAUUAUAGCCUUUUCCCUGCUCAAAAAAAAUCAAUGUUUCUCUGCCUGUAUCAAGUCCCAAUAUAUCGUGCAUAAUGGAAUGCCGAAUGCAGGCUUCACAUAGAAAUGAUAGGCAGCCAAACUAGUAUAAAACAACUCCUAAUGUCAUCCUAGGGGGUAAUAGUUGAAGACUUAGCUGGAUGCAAAUUCAAAAAAGCUAUUAGUUUCUUCAAUACCUACUGUUGUGCACCUACUGUUGCAAACAGAUUCAAAAAAGCUAAUAGGCAACAGAUUCUUUCGCACCUACUGUUGUGCUCAAUAGUUGAGUUCCUAAGAAUCCUCAGUUCAGUUAAAAACUGUAACAGUUGUGGAUGACAAUAAACAUAGGUAAUCAACAAAGUCAAUCACAAGGAACAAAAGCUAUUAGUUUCUUCUAUACCGAUGAUUAUAUUUUAGAGCAGCCAAAAAGAAACCAAGACAGGAGAACAAAAGCUAUUUGUUUCUGCUAGGUUCUUAAAAGAGUUUCAUUUCAUACACAAGCAGCAAUUUUUAAAAAUAAAUAGUAAGUGAGUUUCAUUUCAUACACAAGCAGUAAUUCACAAGCAGUAAUUCUCAAUUUUUCUGGGAAUUCUCUCCACUCUUAUAAAUAGUAAGUGAUGGCACUGCACUGCUCUAAUAUGCUGCAAGAGGCUGCUCUAAUAUGCUGCACUAAUAAGCUGCUCUAAUAUGCUGCACUGCUCUAAUAUGCUGCACUAAUAAGCUGCUCUAAUAUGCUGCACUGCACUAAUAUGCUGCUCUAAUAUACUACACUGCUCUAAUAGGAUGCAAGAGGCUGCUCUAAUAUGCUGCACUAAUAAGCUGCUCUAAUAUGCUGCACUGCACUAAUAUGCUGCUCUAAUAUACUGCACUGCUCUAAUAUGCUGCAAGAGGCUGCUCUAAUAUGCUGCACUGCUCUAAUAUGCUGCUUUAAUAUACUGCACUGCACUGCACUGCACUGCCUUUGGGUUAUGCAGAGGCUGUCACUGCUCCAAUAUGCUGCAAGAGCAAUGGUACUCUCAGGAAAGAUUAUUUUAGUUCCUCUGAGAACUAGUCCUAAAAAGAGUUAUGACUACUUUAACUAAGCCUUUAGCAAUACUAAAUUACAAUUCAUCUCUUUUCUCUUUCUUCUUAUUAAGGAAGGGGGCAAGUUUAAUGGCAUCAAGGAAAUCAAGUGGGCAGAAAUACAUAGGGAGAUAUUUUUUAAGGAAGGGCAGGUUUGACCAUAGAUUAAAUUGUAAAUGAUUCAAUUUUUUUUCCCUUUCAUUUUUUAGGUUCGUGACCCAAAGUGUGCUAGAAGGUUUGUGGACUAUCUUUCAGAAAUGAAGGAAGAUGUGGGAAUAAAGAAUGUUAUGGUUUUGGAAUGUGGUUAUAAUGGUUGGGAAGCCACUGGUAGACCUGUUUCUCGCUGCACUGACAUCCCCUGUAAGGGACAUAAUAGUGCAUAAGAAGCUAAUAAAUGCAUUACUGUCAAGGGGGAAGUAUAAUACAUUUUUGUGCCAACUUAUACAGAAUAUAUAUACACUUAAAAUAUGUUUUAACAAUUACGAGUAUGAACAAAGUACUUGUGAUAUUUGCCUAUUUGUGCACGGUGAAAAGCUCCAGUGAUUUAUUUCAUCCCUGGUAGGUUAGGUAGUUUAUAAAUUAUUUUGCAUUUUGCAGGUUGAAUUUAUUUGCAGGCUAUAGAAUGACACUUUAAACUUGAAAGAAUGCACCCAACCACCAGAAAGAGUUUCUGUUCUUUAUAAUUUUUAUCUAAUAGUCACCACCACCACGACCACUAGGCCAUGUUUGUUUGUUUGUUUGCUUGCAAGGGAACUAUAUUCUCGAAAUUUAAUUACGACAACUCUCAUCUUCACUGCUUAGUAAUUUGCUUGCUUGCUUCACUUUUAGCGAGGUAUAUAGAUAUUCUCUGCUAGAUUUAUAUUCAACGUGAAAAUCAAAGAGCUAUACUACUAUACUUGAAAAAGUUGAAAGAAACAAAAACAUUUUCUGCCAUUCAAAAAACAUCUGAAAAGUUAUUCCCAUCUUGCAAAAAUAAAAUGAAAGUUUGAAGAUGUACUUGUUUUUAUAAAAUUAAAAGUUACAUCAAACACACGUGACACAUUUUUUUUAAAAUAAUAAUUAUAUCUAAUUUUUAAAAUUUAGUAUUGAAAUAUAAUCAUCGUCGUAAAAGAUUAUAGAAUUUAACAAUGUUUCUAUGUACUCUCUUAUCUAAUAUUAGAAGGGGCAAAAACACAACUAAGUAAAAAAGAACACAAAUCAAAUGUCACAAAAUAAAUUAAUCAAACCUGAACUAAAAGAUUUAUAUCAGCAGUUAAUAUCAAAUAAAAUAUCAGAAGCUAAUAAAAAAGGACUUACUGCAAUAUCCUUAGCACGGGAGUUUAUAUAAACUCCAUUACCCUAUUCCUUUUUGUGGGUCCUACCCCAUACUUUCUCAUUUUCCCCUUCGCAAAACCGAAAUCAAGCCUGAGCAAGUAUUGAAGAAAAGAAAUAAAGCAAUAAAUAUUAAUGUUAUAACUUGAUUAAUUAUAAUAACAAUAUAAUAAAGUUGUUAAAUUAAACACUUCCAUGAGUAUGAAAAGUCUUGUUUUAAAAUAAGUAUAACUGAACAACCGGUUAAAACUACGCAGAAACAAUAAAGCAUUAGACACUAUUAACUCCUGGAAAGUUAAUACCAGGUCAAUUCAGAUAAGAGUCUAUAUAAAUUCACAAUACCCUGUUAAAUUCUGCAUAAUCGGUCCAUUUUAAUUGGACAUUAAAAUGUCCAAUUAAAAUGAAAUGGACAUUAAUGAUAAUUUGUGAUCACUUCUCUUUAUGUAAUGGCAUGAUUGGUAUUGCUUAAUGCUAAUUCUAGACCAUAAACUAUUUAACUACAUAUAGUAUAGAACUAUCAUUUCUUGUCACUGUAAUCAUUGGAGUAAUUGACCUGGGACAUAUUAUUUUGAAAUGACAUAAAGGAACCAAUUUAUACAAAAUGUCCUAUUAUAAUGUGUAUCAUGGACAACAUAUGUUCAGUCAUGCUUGUAAUAUGUUCACAUUAUGGCAUAAAUGUAUUUUAUAGAUCUGCAAAGUUCUUAAAAUAUCAUAUUUUUAGUAAGUGAUUGAUAUUUUAAGAACUUUGCAGAUCUAUAGCCACAUGUGCAAUUUUCUUUUUAGCUCAAGGCAGCUAGUUUGAUUGGGACCACAUCAUUAAGAAUGCAACAUAUGAUGCUUAGGCAUCCAUGUGAUUUGUUAAUCAUGCAAUUAAGAUCAUAAUCUCUCCACGUAAAGCAUCACAAACACAUUAGAGUAGGUGAAAAACAUUGACUCAAGUUGGAGAAAUUGGAUCUGUAACAAGCUAAGGUCUCUACAAACAUGGAAAGAUGAAUAAAAAGCUUUUUGACAGUUGCCUAUCUAAUUAUUUGACUCACAAAGGCAAUCAAAAUAAGACCUUAAAGGCUCUUGAUUGGAACCCAUCAGUAUUAAUUCAUGAACAGGACACUAAUCACAUGGGUUCCUUUGAUAGGCCAAUUUACAUUUCCAGAAAAAGGAGGAAGAGAUAGUUGAGUUUGAAUUUGAUGUUUGGAAAGUGAUGGUAGGAAAUAGGCACACAUAGCAAAAAGUUUUAAUGACUUGCCAGGCUUUUGAAAGCAGGAAAGAGGGUGAUCUUUUUGUUAUUGGGGGGGGGGCGCUUAUGAGUAAGUGUCAAUGGAAUCCAACACUAGUGCAAACUAAAGAGAGUUUUAAUAAAUCAAAAAGCAACAAAUGGGAGAAAGAUUUGGUUGAGUGAGUGGGCAUGGUCGGAGUGUAGACCCCCUAAUGGUAGGCAGCUUUUCUUUUUAAUGUUUUGAGUGCUGUCCAAAGGCUAAUGUAAAAAGUAGUAUAAGAACGUAGAAUCUUGCUAAGACUUUGUUUUCACCUCUUUUGAGUACGAAAAGAAAGAUGUGUCUUUUAUAUUCUUUUAAGAAAAAGUUGAUAUAAUGAGAAUAUGAAGGAGAAAGUAUAGUGGGAGGUUGAAUCGAUUGGCUUAUGAGCUGCUUUUUAUAACCUUGCUCUUACACACCAUAGCAAGACCCGAUAGAUAUUUUAGGGUAGUGAUGUUUCCAGGAUAAAAGUGAGUUUCCACACAAUUUAUGCAGUCUGAGUUUUACUGCGUGUAUCAAAUGUUUAAAAUAUUUCAAAGCCAAUAAAAAAGAAAUGGCUACCUUAUAAGAUUUUUCAGAGUUUCUAUACACUCCAACUUCACCAAUAAAAAUACUGCUGUUGCAAAUAUAUAUAUCAUAAUUGCUUAAAAAGUUCUUCUGAUAUUAAGACAAUGUAUUCUUUCAUCAUACAACGUAGUCAUGCAAACUGAGUACCAUUCAGGUGUAGGAAACUCAUGAUGAACAAGCAUGGAUGGAUCUACACAAGGACAAGUGAGGUAGUUGAGGAUUUUAUUUGCAAAGAGGUCUUUAGAAGUAUAUGAAAUUGCACCCACAAACUACUAUUUUCAAGAUUUCCUAAGUGCGUAAUUGUACCUACUUUCAUAUACACCCACAAACCACUCCUCAUUGUGCCAGUUUUUUCAAGUGCUAACCAUAUUGUUAUAAUGUGGUUCGCUCAGCAUGCGUUUUAUCCUGCUUGUUUUCAAAAUAAAUCGCAAACUGCUUAAUUAUUGGUUUGGUAAACAGUUUCAGUUUCUUCUAGUUAUGAGAUCUACUUCAUAAUAAGNNNNNNNNNNNNNNNNNNNNNNNNNNNNNNNNNNNNNNNNNNNNNNNNNNNNNNNNNNNNNNNNNNNNNNNNNNNNNNNNNNNNNNNNNNNNNNNNNNNNCUAGUUUGAUUGGGACCACAUCAUUAAGAAUGCAACAUAUGAUGCUUAGGCAUCCAUGUGAUUUGUUAAUCAUGCAAUUAAGAUCAUAAUCUCUCCACGUAAAGCAUCACAAACACAUCAGAGUAGGUGAAAAACAUUGACUCAAGUUGGAGAAAUUGGAUCUGUAACAAGCUAAGGUCUCUACAAACAUGGAAAGAUGAAUAAAAAGCUUUUUGACAGUUGCCUAUCUAAUUAUUUGACUCACAAAGGCAAUCAAAAUAAGACCUUAAAGGCUCUUGAUUGGAACCCAUCAGUAUUAAUUCAUGAACAGGACACUAAUCACAUGGGUUCCUUUGAUAGGCCAAUUUACAUUUCCAGAAAAAGGAGGAAGAGAUAGUUGAGUUUGAAUUUGAUGUUUGGAAAGUGAUGGUAGGAAAUAGGCACACAUAGCAAAAAGUUUUCAUGACUUGUCAGGCUUUUGAAAGUAGGAAAGAGGGUGAUCUUUUUGUUAUUGGAGGGAGGGGGGCUUAUGAGUAAGUGUGUAUGGAAUCCAACACUAGUGCAAACUAAAGAGAGUUUUAAUAAAUCAAAACUUUAAGCAUUUCUAAAAAAACAGACUUUGCAGAUCUAUAACCACAUGUGCAAUUUUCUUUUUAGCUCAAGACAACUAGUUUGAUUGGGACCAUAGCAUCAAGAAUGCAACAUAUGACUAAAUUUAUAAACAUCAAGAAAAGUUGAAUGUGUAAUGCUCAAGUAACUCUAUGAGUUGUUAGAAAGUUGUUUGCUGUGUAUUUGCUUCUUACUUGUUUUGCAGAGCCAGAAAACUUCAUUAUUAGAGGAAUAAAAUCAUGAGACUUUCAUUUAUCAUUACUAAUCUAGAUUAGCAACUACUGGGUUUCACAACUGUGAAUUUACAUCAAAAUUUCAAGAAAGUUUGGCAUUCUCUUCAACUACAAGUUCCAUUGAACUGAUUUAUACUUGCACAGUAUGAAAGUUGAACUAGUGUGUCAUUUGAAUGGCAAGCCGCUAUGUACCAAGAAAAAGGAAAGAUUCAUCUUUCAUUUGCUUAUAAAUAAGUAAGAAGUCAGCUAUGAAGGUUUUAUGCCAAUGUUAGCUUUUGUUUCAAUUAUAUUUUGCAAAUUUGAUUUUUUGCUUGCAGUGCAGUUUGGGGAAAUUGGCUUACUACAACUAGUAGAACUAAGAAAUUCUUUCUUACCGAUUAAAUUUGUAGAACUUUGAGGAUCUUCUAGUAGCAGUAGUAUCAGUAGGAUGCAACUGCAUAAGCUAGGGGGUAUGUAUAUUACAAGGGAUCUUCACCUAUGAUGCUACAUGCUAGCCAGCUAGCCAAAAAUGUUGAUGUAUAUGCCUAAUUCUUUCCUAGUAAUUCCUCUGCCAUUGUUGUAUAGGAAUUGAUUUUGAUACACUAAAAUUGUUGAGAAUAGGUGCUAUAAAUGGGUUCAAUAUCUUUUGCCUAAUUCUAAACUAAUGCUAGCUCAUAUGCAUCAGUACUGGUCUGGGCAUAUAUAUAUAUAUAUAUAUAUAUAUAUAUAGUGACUUGAAGUUUAGAUUUUGAAGUAGUGUUUUUUUGUUCAACUUUAACNNNNNNNNNNNNNNNNNNNNNNNNNNNNNNNNNNNNNNNNNNNNNNNNNNNNNNNNNNNNNNNNNNNNNNNNNNNNNNNNNNNNNNNNNNNNNNNNNNNNUAGAUAAUUUUUAUUAUACACGAAAAUGUAUUUAUUUAUUAGUAUUUUUGAAUUAAGUAUAUAUGAUAUAACAUAUCUUAUAUAUCUGAUAUGUAUAUUAUACUUGAUAUACAAAACAUAAUGUACAUUCAUACCAUACAUAAUACAUUAUUCUAAUAAUAUAUUAACAUUACAACUAAUAACAGGAUCGAAACCAGAUGCCCAAUAACUAAAUUUCAUAUCAGGCCAGCACACAAUAUAUAACACCAAUAUUCAUACAAGUCUAAAAGGGUAAAAUUUUGUAAUAGCACUACCUUCUCAUACCGUCUCUUACACAAAUAAAUACACACAUACAUAUAUGUGUCUGUAUAUAUGAAUCAUUACAGCAACUAAUGGAAUAAGGAUGAACAAAGUUGUUGGAAAAAAUACCUUCGAACAAAUUGACAGGUCUUUGGGUCUUCAAAGUUAGGGCUUCUGCAAUUGGGACAGAAGGUGAAGAUUUGAAGAUGUAAAGAGGAAGUUUGGGAUAAAAUUUUGGGAUUAAUGAUAAUCCCUUUACUCAUACCAAACAUUAUUCACACAAUCAAAUCUCGAUCUCACUAAUUUUGGGCAAAAUUUGGCGCUAAUUUUUUAUUUCUCUCGCCUAAACUAUGGCUAAGGAAUAGAGGGGAAACCAAAUUGAUAGAGACCUAGUUAGCAUCUAUCGAAACUUCAAUUUUGGCUGAUUGAGCGAAACCCUUGAUCGAUCUGGCUAGCUUACUUCCCUAUCUCACUUGCUCGAGUUACUUCGCCCUUUCUCAGUUUCUCACGAGUCACGAUCGACGCACAUACUGAAUUGCUA
rnacentral:lncRNA from 1 species